UUACGGUCAAAUCACGCUGAAAACACCGGUUCUCGUUCGAUCACCGAAAUUAAGCAUCGUAGAAAACCCAGGUCAGAUCACCGACUUCGUAGAGCCAGGUCAUUACUUAGCUGGGGGUCCGCUUGGGAACACCUGGUACUGUAAG